rnacentral:Y_RNA from 1 species
GGCUGGUCCGAAGGUAGUGAGUUAUCUCAAUUGAUUGUUCACAGACAGUUACAGAUCGAACUCCUCGUUCUACUCUCCCCCCCUUCUCGAUACUGCCCUUUACUAUAAA